rnacentral:rRNA from 1 species
AGAGUUUGAUCCUGGCUCAGGACGAACGCUGGCGGAAUGCUUAAUACAUGCAAGUCGAACGCUCUGGUUUACCAGAGAGUGGCGGACGAGUGAGUAACGCGUUGACAACCUGCCUUGAACUGGGGGAUAACGUCUGGAAACGGGCGCUAAUACCGCAUAGGUCUAAUACUGGGAUGUAUUAGAUGAAAGAUUUAUUGGUGCAAGAGGGGUCUGCGUGAGAUUAGCUAGUUGGUGAGGUAAUGGCUCACCAAGGCAACGAUCUCUAGUUGGUCUGAGAGGAUGGCCAGCCACAGUGGGACUGAGACACGGCCCACACUCCUACGGGAGGCAGCAGUAGGGAAUAUUGCGCAAUGGGGGAAACCCUGACGCAGCAAUUCCGCGUGGAGGAUGACGGUUUUUGGACUGUAAACUCCUGUCAGCAGGGAAGCGAAUGGACGGUACCUGCAGAGGAAGCACCGGCUAACUACGUGCCAGCAGCCGCGGUAAUACGUAGGGUGCGAGCGUUGUCCGGAAUCAUUGGGCGUAAAGCGUCCGUAGGCGGUUAUGCAAGUCUUUGGUUAAAGGUUCCUGCUCAACGGGGAUAUGGUCAAAGAAACUGUGUGACUAGAGUUUGGUAGAGGUUGCUGGAAUUCCUGGUGUAGCGGUGAAAUGCGUAGAUAUCAGGAGGAACACCUGUGGCGAAAGCGUGCAACUGGGCCUGAACUGACGCUAAUGGACGAAAGCCAGGGUAGCGAAAGGGAUUAGAUACCCCUGUAGUCCUGGCCGUAAACGAUGGAUACUAGGUGUUGGGUGAAUCGACCCAUUCAGUGCCGAAGCAAACGCGUUAAGUAUCCCGCCUGGGGAGUACGACCGCAAGGUUGAAACUCAAAGGAAUUGACGGGGACCCGCACAAGCGGUGGAACAUGUGGUUUAAUUCGAUGCAACGCGAAGAACCUUACCUGGGCUUGACAUCUAUGGGACCUGCGUGAAAGCGUGGGGUGCCUUUUUGAGGAGCCAUAAGACAGGUGGUGCACGGUUGUCGUCAGCUCGUGUCGUGAGAUGUUGGGUUAAGUCCCGCAACGAGCGCAACCCACGUGGUUUGUUGUUACGCGCCUUCGGGUGGCGAACCCUCAAGCCAGACUGCCGGUGACAAGCCGGAGGAAGGUGUGGAUGACGUCAAAUCAUCAUGCCCCUUAUGUCCAGGGCUACACACGUGUUACAAUGGGAGGAGACAGCGAGUGGCUUGCACGCGAGUGUUGGCAAAUCUUAAAACUCCCCCUCAGUUCGGAUCGCAGGCUGCAACUCGCCUGCGUGAAGUUGGAAUCGCUAGUAAACGCAGAUCAGCACGCUGCGUUGAAUACGUUCCCGGGUCUUGUACACACCGCCCGUCACACCACGAAAGAAGGUUAUGCCCGAAGUCGCCGAUCCAACCCUUGUGGAGGAAGGCGCCGAAGGCAGAACUUUUGAUUGGGGUGAAGUCGUAACAAGGUAACCGUA